rnacentral:rRNA from 15 species
GAGCACUGUUACGGCUAGGGGGGACAUAAGUCCUUACCAAACCGUUGCAAACUCCGAAUACCCUGAAGUUCAAUCGCGGGAGACACACGGUGGGAGCUAAAUUUCAUCGUGAAGAGGGAAACAACCCAGACCGCCAGCUAAGGUCCCUAAAAUUGGCUAAGUGGGAAACGAAGUGGGAAGGCUAAAACAGUCAGGAUGUUGGCUUAGAAGCAGCCAUCAUUUAAAGAAAGCGUAAUAGCUCACUAGUCGAGUCGGCCUGCGCGGAAGAUGUAACGGGGCUAAAACUAUAUGCCGAAGCUGCGGAUUUACACGUAAGUGUAAGUGGUAGGGGAGCGUUCUGUAAGCCGAUGAAGGUGGAUUGAGAAGUCUGCUGGAGGUAUCAGAAGUGCGAAUGCUGACGUGAGUAACGACAAUGCGAGUGAAAAACUCGCACGCUGAAAGACCAAGGGUUCCAGUCCAACGUUAAUCGGGGCUGGGUGAGUCGACCCCUAAGGCGAGGCCGAGAGGCGUAGUCGAUGGGAAAUUGGUUAAUAUUCCAAUACUUCUGUGUAAUGCGAUGAGAGGACGGAGAAGGUUAAGUCAGCCUGGCGUUGGUUGUCCAGGUGAAAGGUUGUAGGCAUGCAUCUUAGGCAAAUCCGGGGUACUCUAUGCUGAGAACUGAUAGCAAGCUGCACUUGUGCAGUGAAGUGGCUGAUACCAUACUUCCAGGAAAAGUCUCUAAGCUUCAGUUACACAGGAAUCGUACCCGAAACCGACACAGGUGGUCAGGUCGAGUAGACCAAAGCGCUUGAGAGAACUCUGCUGAAGGAACUAGGCAAAAUGGUACCGUAACUUCGGGAGAAGGUACGCUGUCG